CCUACGGGGGGCAGCAGUGAGGAAUAUUGGUCAAUGGACGAGAGUCUGAACCAGCCAAGUAGCGUGAAGGAUGACUGCCCUAUGGGUUGUAAACUUCUUUUAUAAAGGAAUAAAACGAGGCACGUGUGCCUUUUUGCAUGUACUUUAUGAAUAAGGAUCGGCGAACUCCGUGCCAGCAGCCGCGGUAAUACGGAGGAUCCGAGCGUUAUCCGGAUUUAUUGGGUUUAAAGGGAGCGUAGAUGGGUUGUUAAGUCAGUUGUGAAAGUUUGCGGCUCAACCGUAAAAUUGCAAUUGAUACUGGCAGUCGUGAGUACAGUUGAGGUAGGCGGAAUUCGUGGUGUAGCGGUGAAAUGCUUAGAUAUCACGAAGAACCCCGAUUGCGAAGGCAGCUUACUAAACUGUGACUGACAUUGAUGCUCGAAAGUGUGGGUAUCAAACAGGAUUAGAUACCCGGGUAGUC
rnacentral:rRNA from 1 species